AGCAACUGCAAAAAUUAGAGAAAAGAAAAGCUGUUUUGCAAAAGUUAGACCAUUCAUAAUCGACGCACUUUGGAUUGCACCCAACCAGUGAAAGCAAGAGGGAACACAAUUUGUAAGUUUUAGGGCUCUCUAUGAGGUCACUGCUAAUUCUAUUUUAAUAGCAGACCUCCAGAAGAUUAUUAAUUUUUCAACAAUAAGCCUGAAAAGAAAAGAAACACUAAUUUCAUUCUCCCUGGAUGCCUAUAAACAUUCAUUAUUUUAAGCCUUUCUGUUCUCCUUUUCUAUUAUACUACAUUUUUUUUUCAAGGCCAGAGACAGACCUACUCUUUCUAUAUGCCAAGAGCAAAGCUGAUUUGGGUGGUAGUGACAUUCACCCGAUGUCAUUCUCCUGUACUUCUUUGGAAUGGAGUUCAGGUGAAUGCCUCACAGCCAUGAAGUAUUAUAGAUUAACCAUUGUUUUCCAGUAGCCUGGCAUAGUUCCUGGAACAGUGAUUUCCACUAAAGUUUAUUUAAGGGAAAAUUUAAAAUAGAGGAAGAUACAUAAAGAUAUUAGGAGUUGUCACAGAAAUUUAACAACAGGAGAAUAGAAUAACAACAGGAGAAAAGUAAACUCAGCAUGUUAGCACAUGCUCACAUAUUGUAGUUAAAAUAAGAUUUAAAAAUAUUCCAACUGGAGAUGAAAUAGCUAAUAAGAGUUUAUUUGUCAUACACACAAGAAAAAAAAAAGUAUGAAAGAGUCCAGGACCAGACUAGAAUAAUAGCUCCAUGUCCACCAGAGACAUAGACUCUUUCUGUGAUUGCUAGGAUGUAGCCUUCAUCAUCAUACUCCAAAAAGGCUGCUGGAGUUCCAGCUAUCACAGCCACAUUUUAAGCAUCAGUAUCAGAAAAGUGGAAGGGAAGAAAGAGACUUCCCAUGAUUUCUAUACAACACAUUUUCUUACUUUUCACUACCAAGAACUUAAUCACCUACUUCAGUCAAAUACAAAGAAGGCUAUUGCCCAGUCAUAGGCUUCAUAACAGAGGAGCUAUAUGUUUAGCAACAGGAUACUAAGGUUAAUAACUCUAAAUAUAAAAAUGUUUAGGAGCUGACAGAGGAUUCCAUGUGUGCAUGUAUUCUGAGAGGGGAGGAAGGAGGACAGAGGAGUGAGCUGGCUCUUAGAAACUGAAAGCUUAAAGUAGCAAGAGGAGCAUCCAGCUCAUCUGGGGCCUGCUCUGACAAAAACAGAUGCAUUUAUGGACAAAGUAAGGCAGAAUAAAUUAAAGGUAAACAGACAAUUUUCAAACCGUCACUGUUGGUAUUGCCCAGUCUGGUUUACCAUAGAGAAACAUAAAGAGAUUCAGGCUGGAAGUUCAAGUCUAAGUGAAGAUUCAGCUGACAGCCUGGUGUCCCUGUGUGCUAAAUCUCUUUGAACUUGACUAUGACAAAGAGGAUAAAAAAGAGAGAUACCGUGACUCUGGGGUCAGGGGGAGCCCAGUGCUGCCUCUCUCUCCUGCUGAUACCUAUUGUUUAUCAUAUAUACCCUCAUUCUAGAUCAGUUCUCUCCCAGGCAUUCUGUAACCCUGAAUAGUGUGACACGUAUGUUUGUAAUGAUAAUUUUCAGCCAAUAGUUGUGACUGAAUGAGAAAUGGCCACCACCAUCUGCACCCCCACACUCCUCUACCACACUCUCACACACUCCUUAUCUCAGAGCAAGCAGGUUUCUGGGAAUUAAUCCAUCAAAUAUUUUGAAGGAAGACUCUACAGCCUGGUAACACGGCUUAUCUUACCCCAGUGCAUAUUCAUUGCUAUGGUAGCCAUAGCUGGGGAAAAAGUAUCACCUAGGACCUCCUAUUUCCUGUCAGGGAGAGGAGGGGAGUCAAAGAAAACCAACAACCAAGGAAUAUAGUGCCAGGAUGAGAUUCCUAGACAUCUCUGCCCUCAAGGAAAAAAGCAGUGAGGCAGAGAGCAGCAGUGCUAUUGUGAGGAAAAUCAUUUACUGAACCCCUGCUGACCACAGCUCCAGUCCCAAAUUAAGAAUAGAUGAAAAUGGAAAUAGCUAAGUUGGUAGGUAAGGCAUGUUUGGGUUUGUUUGUUUUUGGUAUGAUGGAAGGGAGGUGAGAUAUUAACUAUGACUAUAUAUUUCAUCUCUAAUCUCUCCCUUUCUACAGUAAACACUGGGAAUAAUCCAAAGCACAAAAGGGUGUGGACCAGUAGCCUUUUAAAGGAAUUUUAUAAAAUGGAUCUAUUCUCAGUGCCCUUCAGCAGGUUUCUGAGGCCUCUGACUUCUUCAGGUACUUUGGCUCAGAAAAUUAUUAAUCUUGGUGCUUUUAGUUUAGUGCCCACCCCAUGGCUUAUGAUGCAUUGCCAGAGUUUUGAAUAACUCAAAGUUUUGUGUAAGACCCAUUCUCUCCUUUACCCCUGAGUUUUUCUUUUGUUGGAAAAAGAAAAUCAAGAAUUCUCUGAACAUAUUCUCUUCUGUCUAUGUAUUCCUGGAAGUAUUAUAAUAGUCAGGACUUCCACAUUUUUCUUCAUAACUCAAUCUCAACUUAUCUCCAAUGAAUCAAAGGGUGGUAGAGUUUUUAAGAGGUGGAAUGGGGGCAAGGAUCAUAGGAUAUCUGGGGUGAGGUCAAGGGCCAAGGGGCAGAAAGAAGCCUGCCCAAACUCUAGUCAAGUUGAGGGAAACACUAAGGCCAUUUUGGUCAAUUCUUACCAUAACUCCACGGAGUCAUGCAUUAAUAUGCCCAUUUUAGGGUAGAAGACCUAAACAGACAAUGUCCAAAGAAGACACCAGAUGGCCAACACACACAUGAAAAGUUGCUCAAUAUCACCAAUUAUCAUGUUAUAGGCUUCAAGUCCCCAUGAAGGAGAUCAAACCCAAAAGCCACUGACCAGGUUUCAUUGUAAUACCCCUUCCCCCACCUUGAGCAACCUGGGCUGCUCACUCCCUGUUAGGGAAGAAAUGUCACCCAUUCCUUACCUUGCCUCUAUAUAACCUGUUCCUCAUGCUAAUAAGGUAUCCAGCCUGAAAACAACCAGAGGAUCAAAAUGCACCCUCAUACAGAGAUCAAACAACACUGCCCUUAGAGAUGGUGCAGCAGGGCUGGGACAGGAAAAUGAGUGGGGCUCAGGGCAGGAAAAUUCAGGUCCCCAACUACAUUCACUGUAUGCGGAUAUAAGGAAAGACCCAGCUGUGACCAGAGCCAGUCUGUACUCCAGGGUGGCCUGCUCUCUCUCUGAGGGCAUAAAUAAAAUUUGCUAUACACUACUAUCAUUUGAGUUCGAUUGUGAUCUCCACAUUUCGCAGACGGAAUAGUCCCCCUGCCAGACUGCCCACACCUCUAAAUCCUUGCUGCGUGUGGGCAAGAAUGAGAGAAAUCACACAGAGGGACCAGACAAUUAGAGAAAUGCAAACCAAAACCACAAUGAGUAUGCCCUCACACUGGUCACAAUGGCCGUCAUCAAAAAGACCACAAAUAAUAAAUGCUGGAGAGGGUGUGGAAAAAAGGGAACCCUCCUAAACUGUUGGUGGGAAUGUAAAUUGGUACAGCCACUGUGGAAAACAGUGGAAAAGUUCCUUAAAAAACUGAAACUGUAGCUACCACAUAACCCACCAAUCCAUCCUGGGUGCAUAUCCAGAAGAGAUAAAACUAAUUCAAAAAGAUACAUGCACCUCAACGUACACAGUAGCACCAUUUAUAAUAGCUAAGACAUGGAAACAAUCCAAGUGCCCAUCAACAGAAGACGAGAAGACUGGUUUAAAAAGAAGUGUGUGUGUGUGUGUGUGUGUGUGUGUGUGUGUGUGUGUGUGUGUGUGUAAUGAAAUAUUACUCAGCCAUAAAAAAGAAUGAAAUAAUGCCAUUUGCAACAACAUGAAUAGGCCUAGAAAAUAUCAUACUAAGUGAAUUAAAUCAGAGAAAGACAAAUUUAUAUGAUAUCACUUCUAAGUGGUAGAAUUAAAAAAACUACAAACAGAUCUAUAUAUGAAAUUGAAAAAGACCGACAUAAAAAACAAAAUUAUGGUUACCAAAGGAGAAAGGGAUGGGGAGUAGGGAUAAAUUAGGGAUAUGAGAUUAACAAAGUGCUAUGCAUAAAAUAAACAUAACCUUUAAGGGAAGAGAAUUUGAAAAGGAAGUGAUAUAUGUAUAACUGAUUCACUUUGCUGUACCCCUGAAACUAACACAUUAUUGUAAGUAAACUAUACUCCAGUAAAAUUUGAUAAAAAAAGGAUUUACCAUAUAACACAGAGAAUAAUAUUCUAUAAUAGAAAAUAAUCUGAAUAUGUGUGUAUAUAUAUGUAUACACACUGAAUACUUUUUCUGUACACCUGAAACUAAUACAAUGUUGUAUAUCAAUUAUACUUCAAAUUUAAAAAAUACAUUUUAAAAACUCCCAUUCUACAGAUUGGAAAUUAAAGUACAGAAAGGUUGAGUCUUGCCCUAAAAGCCUCACAGAGUCCGAAGCCAUCCCCAAGUUCAUAUCCCUCCCAGUGCUCCCUAUUUCCCACAUAUGCAAAUUAAUAUUUUUCUUACUGUGGUUUGGAACCAGGUCAGCCACAUUAGAUUCAAGGGCUGCCUUGCUGAUAGCAUCUUGGAAGGCUCAACCCAAAGAUAGUUUUAGGGAAAUAUGGAGGGGAAAGGAUGGGCAAAGCAGAGGUAAGGGUCAGGGUGGUCAGCUUUCAUUCUACCCCUCAUUUCAACAUAUGGUCUCCAAUGACAUGUUCAGAACUGGGUUGGCAAAAAUCUAUAGGCAGAAAGGAGUGAAACCCUGAGAAUAGGAAUAAAAUGGGAUGGACAAGUUCCAGGGAUCCAUCAAAAAAGUGGCAGGAGUUGGAGUUCGUGUCAUGGCACAACGAAACAAUCUGACUAGGAUCCAUGAGGAUGCAGGUUUGAUUCCUGGCCUCAAUCAGUGGGUUAAGGAUCUGUCACUGUUGUGAGCUGUGGUGUAGAUCACAGACUCAGCUUGGAUCUUUCAUUGCCGUGGCUGGGGUGUAGGCCAGCAGCUAUAGUUCUGAUUCAACCCCUAGCUUGGGAACCUUCAUAUGCUGAGGUGUGGCCCUAAAAAGCCAACAACAACAACAAAAAAAAAGUCCUAGAAAUAUGGAAAGUGAAAUAGCUGGAAGAGGGAAGAAAAUUUAAGGGGAAAGAUGUGAAUUAAGAAUUACAAUAAGAAUUAAGGUAAACGGACACAUUUAUUACUCUGGAAAUAUUAGACCUAUACUAUAGAAUAAAAUUGCUGCUGCUGAUUUCCAAUUUCAAAGUGAUGCUACUGAUACAGAAAUAAAUGAUUCUGGUCAAAGAGAAAAUUUCAAAGCGAGAAAAACAAAGGGAAUGAUUAGAACUCUUAAAGAACCACCAACUUCAAGGAUCAGGGAAGGAGAAGAAAACAAAAACAAUAAUGGAGAAUAAGGAACAGAAAAAAAAAAUAAUAAGAGAAAUAGACGUGUCCAGAAAGUAUUGUCAGAGAAACCACUAAGAAGUUUAUAAAAGACGCAGAUUCCAAAGAGUCAAAUAGCACAGUUAUAGAGAACUGUAUAAGAUGGAGGACUCUUCUGGUGAUUUUCCAGAGAGAUGUUUCAACAUAGUUAUGAGGAUGAAAAACAGAUUCAACAGAUUAAAGAAAGUGGUAGCUGUGGUGGCUGUAUAAGAAGAAAAGGCACUGGGUCACAGCUAUGGAGUAAAAAGAAGAUGGUUUGGAUGCUAGUUAGAAAAACAAAGAUCUUUUUGUUUUCCAGUAGCAAUGGAAAAUAUGUUGAGAACCUGAAGCAUUAACCCUGGAUCCAAUAUAUUUAUGGAGGCUUCUCUACAGAUUGCUAAGGUAUACACAAAAAGGAUAUGGUUCUCUAAGAAUAUUAUGGUUCUCUACCGUAAUGUGAUUGGUCCCAUCUCUGAUAUGCAGUGUGCAUGAUAGGGGAGCUCUCCCUCAGGGAUUUCCAACCUUCUGAUUAGUACAGAAGAGAGUUGCUCUCAGCCUGCUUGCCAAUCAAGGUCCUCUAGCUUGUUCAUCAUUUGAAGAGAUUCUAUUGUGGGCCUAGAGACAACUGCUGAUAACUUGUUUAUCUCGGUGUCUUAAUCAUUUCCGGCUGUUACAACAAGUUACCGUAGCCUGGGUGACUUAAACAGCAGACAUCUAUUUCUCACAUUCUGGAGACUGGAAAGUCCAAGAUCAAGAUGCCAGUAGAUCUGUUGCCCAGUGAGAGCCUGGUUCCCAACUGAAGACAGCCUUCUCCUCACUGUAUCCUUACUUGGCAGAGAAAACAGAAAGGAAGCAAGCUUUCUUGUGUCUCUUCUUAUAAAAGCACGAAUCCCAUUCAUGAGGACCUACUCUCUGGAUUUAAUAACCUCUCAAAGGCACACCUCUUCUUACCACCACAAUGGAAGAUAGGAUCUCAACAUAUCAAUUUGAGGGAUGACAUGAACAUUCUGUCCAUAGCACUUAGCAAGAUGAGUCAGAGUUUCUGAGGAUUCAAGGAAGGAUGCUGAUGCUUUUAAAAGGGUUUGGGACAUGGCAGUAGUUGUCACACCUGAAGGUGCUGCAGAGCAUUACAUAUGAGAGUUAUUGUUUUGUUUGAUAUGUUUCCCUGAUAGGUAGCUAUUUUCAAAUGGUAAUCAUUUACCAGCUCUUGACAAUCCCCAGAUAUUUUCUCUGAGGCUAUCAGGCCUAUGUCUUCGUCUUAUUAACUUUUUUUGUGUGCAUACAUCUUUUUUUCUGGUGAUGGCCAGCAAUAUAUGCUUGGAAGAAGCAUAUAUUUCUCUCCCUGCCUUUCAGCACAGCUUAAAGCUAUCUGCUUCUGAAAAGCAGGUCCACAGCUGGUCAAUAGCUUGGUAGAUUUAUUCCAGUUCCUACCUCUGAUCAUUUCCCAUUUUUAACUUUUGUCUCCAUUUCUUCUCUGCAGUUCUCCUGAGAGCAGGCCUCCUCUCGCCCCCACACCUCUCACCUGGCAAUUGGACACUUUGUUGUUCCAUUUUAUGUGUUCACUUCAUCUCUCCCAGUAACCAUCCUAAAUCUGCUCUCCCUGGAAACACUCUCAAUGAUAUCUCUGUCCUCCAGGGCCUAAAAUAGGCUGAAGGGCAAGGGACAAUGAAAAGGGGAGAUAUGGUUUUUGAUUACUUGUGUGCUUUUGGCUAUAAUGGAAACAGCCAGCAGGUCGGACCUUCAUGUGCAUGUGUACAUAGAGAAUUUUUUAAUGAGAUGAGCAAAAACGAUUAUACUCAAAAAGCUAUAAAUACGCCUCAGAAAUAAGUGAAAAUAACUAAAUAUAAAAAGCAUACCUGGUUCAGCCUUGGAA
rnacentral:lncRNA from 1 species